rnacentral:misc_RNA from 1 species
GAUGAAGAACGUAGCGAAAUGCGAUAAGUAAUGUGAAUUGCAGAAUUCCGUGAAUCAUCGAAUCUUUGAACGCACAUUGCGCCCCCUGGCAUUCCGGGGGGCAUGCCUGUCCGAGCGUCAUUUCUGCCCUCCAGCCCGGCUGGGUGUUGGGCGCUGUCCCCACGGGGACACGCCCCAAAGGCAGUGGCGGCGCCGCGUCGGGUCCUCGAGCGUAUGGGGCUUUGUCACCCGCUCGGGACGGACUCGUCGGCGCUGGUCUUCCUCCAGGCGACCCUUCGGGGCUCGUCUUCCUUCGGUUGACCUCGGAUCAGGUAGGGUUACCCGCUGAACUUAAGCAUAUCAAUAAGCGGAGGA